rnacentral:rRNA from 1 species
CUACGGGUCGCUGCAGUGAGGAAUCUUGCGCAAUGGGGGAAACCCUGACGCAGCGACGCCGCGUGGGUGAUGAAGGCCUUCGGGUCGUAAAGCCCUGUCGAGAGGGAAGAAUUGCAUUUAGGUUAAUAGCCUAAUUGUUUGACGGUACCUCCAAAGGAAGCACCGGCUAACUCCGUGCCAGCAGCCGCGGUAAUACGGAGGGUGCAAGCGUGUUCGGAAUCACUGGGCGUAAAGGGCGUGUAGGCGGCUGAGGAAGUCAGGUGUGAAAUCCCUCGGCUCAACCGAGGAAGUGCAUUUGAUACUGCUCAUCUUGAGUACUGGAGAGGGAGAUGGAAUUCCCGGUGUAGAGGUGAAAUUCGUAGAUAUCGGGAGGAACACCAGUGGCGAAGGCGAUCUCCUGGACAGAUACUGACGCUAAGGCGCGAAAGCGUGGGGAGCAAACAGGAUUAGAUACCCCGGUAGUC